GAUCAUGGCUCAGGAUGAACGCUGGCGGCGUGCUUAACACAUGCAAGUCGAGCGAAGCACUUAAGUUUGAUUCUUCGGAUGAAGACUUUUGUGACUGAGCGGCGGACGGGUGAGUAACGCGUGGGUAACCUGCCUCAUACAGCGGGAUAACAGUUAGAAAUGGCUGCUAAUACCGCAUAAGACCACAGUACUGCAUGGUACAGUGGUAAAAACUCCGGUGGUAUGAGAUGGACCCCG
rnacentral:rRNA from 1 species